rnacentral:rRNA from 1 species
ACGCUAGCUACAGGCUUAACACAUGCAAGUCGAGGGGCAGCAUAGUCUUAGCUUGCUAAGGCCGAUGGCGACCGGCGCACGGGUGAGUAACACGUAUCCAACCUGCCGUCUACUCUUGGACAGCCUUCUGAAAGGAAGAUUAAUACAAGAUGGCAUCAUGAGUCCGCAUGUUCACAUGAUUAAAGGUAUUCCGGUAGACGAUGGGGAUGCGUUCCAUUAGAUAGUAGGCGGGGUAACGGCCCACCUAGUCUUCGAUGGAUAGGGGUUCUGAGAGGAAGGUCCCCCACAUUGGAACUGAGACACGGUCCAAACUCCUACGGGAGGCAGCAGUGAGGAAUAUUGGUCAAUGGGCGAGAGCCUGAACCAGCCAAGUAGCGUGAAGGAUGACUGCCCUAUGGGUUGUAAACUUCUUUUAUAAAGGAAUAAAGUCGGGUAUGGAUACCCGUUUGCAUGUACUUUAUGAAUAAGGAUCGGCUAACUCCGUGCCAGCAGCCGCGGUAAUACGGAGGAUCCGAGCGUUAUCCGGAUUUAUUGGGUUUAAAGGGAGCGUAGAUGGAUGUUUAAGUCAGUUGUGAAAGUUUGCGGCUCAACCGUAAAAUUGCAGUUGAUACUGGAUAUCUUGAGUGCAGUUGAGGCAGGCGGAAUUCGUGGUGUAGCGGUGAAAUGCUUAGAUAUCACGAAGAACUCCGAUUGCGAAGGCAGCCUGCUAAGCUGCAACUGACAUUGAGGCUCGAAAGUGUGGGUAUCAAACAGGAUUAGAUACCCUGGUAGUCCACACGGUAAACGAUGAAUACUCGCUGUUUGCGAUAUACUGCAAGCGGCCAAGCGAAAGCGUUAAGUAUUCCACCUGGGGAGUACGCCGGCAACGGUGAAACUCAAAGGAAUUGACGGGGGCCCGCACAAGCGGAGGAACAUGUGGUUUAAUUCGAUGAUACGCGAGGAACCUUACCCGGGCUUAAAUUGCAGAUGAAUUACGGUGAAAGCCGUAAGCCGCAAGGCAUCUGUGAAGGUGCUGCAUGGUUGUCGUCAGCUCGUGCCGUGAGGUGUCGGCUUAAGUGCCAUAACGAGCGCAACCCUUGUUGUCAGUUACUAACAGGUUCCGCUGAGGACUCUGACAAGACUGCCAUCGUAAGAUGUGAGGAAGGUGGGGAUGACGUCAAAUCAGCACGGCCCUUACGUCCGGGGCUACACACGUGUUACAAUGGGGGGUACAGAGGGCCGCUACCACGCGAGUGGAUGCCAAUCCCCAAAACCUCUCUCAGUUCGGACUGGAGUCUGCAACCCGACUCCACGAAGCUGGAUUCGCUAGUAAUCGCGCAUCAGCCACGGCGCAGUGAAUACGUUCCCGGGCCUUGUACACACCGCCCGUCAAGCCAUGGGAGCCGGGGGUACCUGAAGUGCGUAACCGCGAGGAGCGCCCUAGGGUAAAACUGGUGACUGGGGC